AUAAAUAGUUGGUAGUAGAGUUAGCGUGUUUGGUAAGCUUUUCAGGUUUUCCACAUACUAAUUUAAAUUUGUUUAUCAAAUAGUAUUAAGCACAUGUAUGUUUCAAACUAAUAAUAAACUGAACACAAAUUACUUAUUUAAAUAAUAUUUUACCCAUAUUGUCAGUAAUCACUCUGAGUAAUUUAAUGCAAUCAGCUACUCAAAAACCUGAAACAUCAUUUAUACUACUGUAAGCAUUCUAUAUGCUAAACUGUACAAUUGUACUUUAUUUUAUAUGUUAUUCUGGAAAACAAUUUUGUCAUUAGAUUAUCAACAUAAUCAUCUAUAGACUCUCAAGUCAAAAGAAAGUCUUAGGAGCAUUAAAUGGUAAGAAGUUUGUGUUUAUAUCCCAAUCCUACUCACGGACAAGUCUUGUAGAGAAGUAAGUUUGAACAUGUAGGAUUCCUUGUUCAUUUAAUAAUGAACAUAACGCAUAAUGAAAUGCAUAAACAGGCAUUUUCAUAUACAGUUAAAUCAUAAAGACAAAUAAGCUAAUAGCAAAACAAUAGUCACUGAAGGGUCACUACAGAAACAAUUCAACUUCUGUAUGGCCUUGGAAUAAUGCUAUAUUCUUACCAGAGAUUUAGUCUUGUUUUGCAACGUUGUUUUGAAUGCAUGAUGAGGUCAAGAAUCAUUCUGCACCAAUUCAUUUGGCUACGUCUACCCUGUGAAAGGAUAUCAAGGUUGAAAAUGUGGUGGGAGAUAAAGCCAACCUAUCUCCUAAAGAUUUUCCCGGUGUUCAUGUUUGUUUGUUUGUUUUAAUAGGCAUAACUUAUAUUCUUGAACAGCAGAAUUAUAGUUUUUUUUCUCUUUUUUAGCCAAGCUUUAUCCAGGAGAAUUUUCAAUGAUGCUAAACUGCUAAUGUAUAGGUGGAAGCAUAUAGCUCUUAGUGAUUUUCAUGUGUUAAUCUAAGAAAAUUCUCUGAUGCAAUGCUUCAUUUUCCUUUCUCAAAACACCAGCAUAACAGUUGCACUGACUGUACAAAGCAUGGUUACAAGACUUGCUGGCUGUGUUGCAAGUUCAAAAGCCUUUAUCACUGGACAAUAUAAUGUCUUUUUAGGUGAUACUGAGCAAUAUCAACAUCAGACUCAAGGAACUUAGGAUGAACAGACUGCAGAUGGCAAGUCAGCUCCUCACAGUGACCAAUUAAGACACCACAGCCGUGGUCUGAGAAGAAAAUAUGGACUAAGUUAUCUGUGGCAGGCUCCACUGACAAAUAGGUAAUUUCCUCCAGCAUUUAAAUGGGAAGGAUCCAGAGAGAAAGGAGUGUCUAAAGAGGACAGGGAUAUGAAAUUUGAAUCAGAUUUGAACAUUACCAUCUAUUUCAGAAACAGUUGCAGGAAACCAAAAUAUUGCUCUCAUUAUAUCCUUCCAGCAGUCAAAGGGCAUAAAAAAGAUGGACAGCCUCUUUUGAUUCAUAGUCAUAAGAGAGGGGGCUCCACAGAAUGAAGAAGAGCACACUGUGUCAAAGCUACCUGUACUUGAGGAGAGACAACAACUGAGACAAUGUGAAAAUAUUGCCCUAUCCCCCUCAAUUUUGGGAUAAUCCAUUUUAAUUUGUAGAAGCAUACGUUGUAUUUUGCUCUCCAUGUCACUACUUUUCCUCCCUGACACCAUGCGCUUAAAGAAUGACUUUUCAGGAGCGGCAAUACUGAGAUUUUCAGUGGACAUUGCCAAUGGUCUACCAUGGCCUCCGUCCCCUCCAGUGCAGGAGCUGUACCAAGGCACGGAGCUGCUCUGGUGCCAGCAGCAGUGUUAGCUCUUGGUAACAGCUGUAUUCGCACGAGUUCUAGAAUGCUGGUUGGAGAAGAGUGAUGGAGGUUUCUCAGCCACUACACUAUGCUGUGGGGUGCUUCAAGAUCUGUCAAGCUAAAGCUGCUUCAAGAUAGCUGUUUCAGAUAUGUACAACUAUUUUGUUGCCAGACACUAAUUCCCUUUUUAUUUCUUUUGAUAUCAUGUGUAAUCAGCAGCACUGAGCACUGAAUUAACUCAAGGAGAUAAAAUUGCAUAAAACUUAAAAAUCCUUCAUUGCUGUUCUUAGUUAUCAUAAUUCAAAAGUUCUGUAGCAGGAACGUUCUUGUAUUUUUUUUUUUUAGGAUGUUAAGUGACUUGACGUGUUAUGUUCCUCUCAUGUUGCCUCUGCCUGGGCUGAAGACAGUCAUCACCUGUAACCCAGCAGAGCUUCACAGGCACUAUAAGGCCAUCAGGCAUUUAAGUAAUGCCUGGGGCAGGUCUUAGGCAAUAAAACAUCAAAUAUAGGAAUAUUCUGUACUAGGGCUUUUUGUUGUUAUUUAUUAUUAUUUUUAAAGCUUUAAGCCAGCCUGGAUAGAUUGUUGCUCCCUUCAUAUGCCUACUGUUGAUUCCUCACAACUUUUUAGUGUUGUUUUAUGCCAAUAAGGAUUUUAAUUAACACUAAUUGCUGACAUACUUAUUUCUUCAACAACUUUGCUCAGUUUGAGUCUGGUGCGUGGCAUUAGGGGACUUGUUAGCAACUGGUAUGCAUAGGAAAAGCUUAGCUUCUCCUCCUGCACCAGGAAACUAAACAGGUAAACUGCAUAAUGUUGGAAGCUACUGCUGGGGAAGGUGUGACAACCCCAACACAUAUUAAAAGUCCAGUAUAGUAGGUUUGGGCUGCAGAUGUUUGUAAGGAGCAAAGAGAAAUGGUGCAACUGGAGUGCAGCCACAAACUGGUGCCAGCUUUUAAAAUCUGCUCCAGUGAUUUCUUUUUCUGCAAAACUAUUCGUUCCAGGCCCAUAAUUCAGGAAAAACAAACAAACAAUCAAAAAAAACACACUUGUAAUCAUGUGUAUAAAAAGUGCUUAAGACUUAAGGCAAUUAAUAGCAGAGUGAGUGUCAGGACAGAAAAAGAUGCUGCUCAUGCCCUGCCUGUCAGUUGGCUGGUGCUGUCAUAGUUUUGCAGUCAUUCAGAUCACUGCAAUGUAAAUCAGGGACUUGUAGUCUUAUCUUUGAUACGCUUAGUUGUUGCGUAAAUUUUCAAAUUUGAUACUAACACUUGAGCCAGGUCACCUAUUAAAUGUAUUUUGUUCUACCAGAAAUAUUUUGGUUUCCAUUUCAUUUUCUUGUAUCACCCAGUCUAUUCUGUUAAUAAAGUUUGUUUGCCU